AUGACAAGCGUGACCAAAAAUCGGUUUGGUUUCAUGCCUGGGAGGUCGACCAUGGAAGCCAUUUUCUUAGUACGACAACUUAUGGAGAGAUAUAGGGAGCAAAAGAAGGACUUGCAUAUGGUGUUCAUUGACUUGGAGAAGGCCUAUGAUAAGAUACCACGGAAUGUCAUGUGGUGGGCCUUGGAGAAACACAAAGUCCCAGCAAAGUACAUUACCCUCAUCAAGGACAUGUAUGAUAAUGUUGUGACAAGUGUUCGAACAAGUGAUGUCGACACUGAUGACUUCCCGAUUAAGAUAGGACUGCAUCAGGGGUCAGCUUUGAGCCCUUAUCUUUUUGCAUUGGUGAUGGAUGAGGUCACAAGGGAUAUACAAGGAGAUAUCCCAUGGUGUAUGCUCUUUGCGGAUGAUGUGGUGCUAGUUGACGAUAGUCGGACGAGGGUAAAUAGGAAGUUAGAGUUAUGGAGACAAACCUUGAAAUCAAAAGGGUUUAGGCUUAGUAGAACUAAAACCGAGUACAUGAUGUGCGGUUUCAGUACUACUAGGUGUGAGGAAGAGGAGGUUAGCCUUGAUGGCCAGGUGGUACCCCAGAAGAACACCUUUCGGUAUUUGGGGUCAAUGUUGCAAGAGGAUGGGGGUAUUGAUGAAGAUGUGAACCAUCGAAUCAAAGCUGGAUGGAUGAAGUGGCACCAAGCUUCUGGCAUUCUCUAUGACAAGAGAGUGCCACAAAAGCUAAAAGGCAAGUUCUACAGGACGGCGGUUCGACCCGCAAUGUUGUAUGGCGCUGAGUGUUGGCCGACUAAAAGGCGACAUGUUCAAUAG
rnacentral:rRNA from 1 species